AGAUUGAACGCUGGCGGCAUGCCUAACACAUGCAAGUCGAACGGGAGUAGCAAUACUCUAGUGGCGGACGGGUGAGGAAUACGUAGGAAUUUGCCCUUAAGUGGGGGAUAACCCGGGGAAACCCGGAUUAAUACCGCAUGACCUCGAAAGAGCAAAGUGGGGGAUCGCAAGACCUCACGCUUUUGGAGAAGCCUACGUCGGAUUAGCUAGUUGGUGAGGUAAUGGCUCACCAAGGCGACGAUCCGUAACUGGUCUGAGAGGAUGAUCAGUCACACCGGAACUGAGACACGGUCCGGACUCCUACGGGAGCAGCAGUGGGAAUAUUGGACAAUGGGCGCAAGCCUGAUCCAGCAAUGCCGCGUGUGUGAAGAAGGCCUUCGGUUGUAAAGUCGACGUUUAAGUUAGGAAAGAAAAACGUACGACGUACUAACACAGUAGAGUCUUGACGGUACCGACAGAAUAAGACACCGACUAACGUCU
rnacentral:rRNA from 1 species